rnacentral:rRNA from 1 species
GAUGAACGCUGGCGGCGUGCUUAACACAUGCAAGUCGAACGGAGUUGAUUUAAGGAAGCAAGCUUGCUUGAAGAAUUGAAUUAACUUAGUGGCGGACGGGCGAGUAACACGUGAGCAACCUACCUCUUACAGGGGAAUAACAACGGGAAACCGUUGCUAAUACCGCAUGAUAUGUGCUGAAGGCAUCUUUGGCACAUCAAAAGAGCAAUCUGGUGGGAGAUGGGCUCGCGUCUGAUUAGCUAGUUGGUAAGGUAACGGCCUACCAAGGCGACGAUCAGUAGCCGGACUGAGAGGUCGAACGGCCGCAUUGGGACUGAGACACGGCCCAGACUCCUACGGGAGGCAGCAGUGGGGAAUAUUGGGCAAUGGGCGAAAGCCUGACCCAGCAACGCCGCGUGAAUGAUGAAGGCCUUCGGGUUGUAAAAUUCUUUGGACAGGGACGAAGAAAGUGAC